GGGGUCAUCAGUAAGGCACUCAAUCACCUUAAUAUCCUGUGACACCCCUUAUAAGGCUGCUGUUAUGUUCUGGUGGUUGUCAGGAAUAAAUGUACAACAUUGCGUCUCUACAAGGGCACAGCUGCCACAUUGGGCAGCUCUGACCAUGUCUAAGGCCAUCCGGUUUUGCAGAACCAACUUCCUGAUCUGAUUGACUUCAUCAGUUAACAAAAAGGAGAGCAACUCGGGUGUAAUUCAGGGCCCAAACUGUGUGCUCUGCAAGGGCUGUAACUUGCAUUUCUACAGUAGCGACACCUGCUCUAGGGAUAGUUAUCGCUUAGGGGUAGAGUCACUAGGGGGCUUGCUGAACUCGUAAAAACCAGGAACAUAGCACCUUCCAGUUAGGUGGAUGACUAGGCAAUGUGGGAAACACAGUGGCAGGCACAGAAAGCCACCCCCAGGUACAACGUCCAGUCCAAUUGGCUGGUAGAUAUGGCCAUCCUGUGUCCCCACAGACCCAUAAACUCCCUGGGGGCAUAAAGUCCAUGAAGGUCCAGCCUUGGUAAGGCAACUUAUUCCACCACACCCUUGGUUUCGCGGCAUGUGUUAUGUUUGCACAAACCUCAGCAAUAAUCCCUCAGUGACUUUACCCCAGUGCUCCCCUAUACAUCAUGGUACCUGCAAUGGGGGCACCACAUGUUUUCCCGUUAGCCAGCCCCAUCCAUCAUGGACACUAUAAGUCAGCCAGUGGCAGGCUUGCCAUGGGUUUUGGGACGUCCCCCUAUCCAAAGCCCACCAUUGCAUUGUCUAUUGAACACCAAGUCUCUAGCCAUGUCCAGUUCUGCACAGAAGCUGGAUGCACGUUCCAGGGCAAGCUGCCUGCAGCUGCUGCUGAAAGGGUGGUGCAGAUACAACAGUUGAAGACAUUGGUCACCUCAGUGUAGGUGUGGGCCCAGAACAUGAUGCUGUUGGAGCAUGCCACCUAUGGCUGGAAUGACAAAGCAAGCACAGGUACUAACAGGGGUAAAUCAUGUCCCUCAGGCAAAAUACAGGCCAACUUUUCACCUCUCGAUAACAGUGCAGCCACCAAGGGCAUUUGCCCUGGGUGAUGAUACCACACCUUAUCAGCUCCCUGUGGUCCUUUUGGGUGCUGUACCCAUGCCAAACACACAGGGGAGCUUAUGCUAAGCCACACAGACAGUACACAUGCCCUCUGGAGGAGAGUCUCUUCCCUGGCCGUUCCCCUAUGCAUGGUUAAUUGUGGAGGCCACACAUUAAAUACCCAAGGAGUAACAUGUAAGUUAUACUGCAGCCCCUCCCCCCAGGGGGCUAUGAUAGCCAACCAUCUGCAAUGAGGUGCUUGGAGGGUCCAUGGCUAACACCAGGUUUUUCUGUUCCCCUGCCUUUAGGGGUACUGGGGCAGGCAAUAACAGAUUACUGUUCAACCCUGUACCUGGUUGGAGAAGGUUGUUCUUCCUCUCAUAGAUCUGGCCACAUGGCCUGGCCCUACAUGGGUCGAUGACUAACUAGCUAAUUCUGUAACUUCUAGGUAAUUAACCACAAAGUUAAGCCUUGAUAAAUUGCCUAGCUACUAGUACAGAUUACCACAGGUGUCAUCUCCUUGGUGAUCACAGUCCAUAUUGCCUUGAGUUCAACUUAUUAGCUACUUUAUUUACACCUGGUUUUAAACCAUAUUGUGUCAGUACUAGGCUGGACUGUAGCAGCAAUCCAGGCAGCAGCAGUACUCUGGCUAUACCUACCUGUAUACUAUGCCUCAUUAGGAAUGGGAGGAUGCCCUUCCUUAUGGUAAAGGCUCAGGGUCUAGAGGUGCCUCAGACCCCAUGACUUUAUCUUGCAUUAGGACUAUAGGCUUCAAGACCUAUUGUAAUUUUACUCCUAAGAGACCAGUACUCAGUGUACUCUGCUGCUCUAAGUAGGUGCCCCACUUCGCUAAAGUGGAUGUCUGUGCCUUCCCUAUCCAGGGGGUUGUUUCCCAUGAAUGCCCAAUCUCACAAUUACUAACUGCUUCUCUAUCAAGGAAUACUGGGGCUCAGCUCCCUUCCACAGCUGGGAACAAAAGCCUAUUGGCAUACUCAGGUGCUCUAUGCACUGCUAUAGGCCCUAACUGAAACUCUGUUGUCACAGGCACAUCUAGUUUAAAUGGGCACCUCUGGUCCACUACCCGUAUGGCUUGUGCCUGCUAAAUAGCCCGCUAGGCUACCAGAAAGACUGUCUCAGGAGCAUCAUCCCAAUCCCAGGCAAGAAGAACAUUGCCACUUCUAAAUCUGCAGGAGAAUCAGAGGUUAACAUGACAUCAUUAAUAAAAUAAUGACACGUGGUGGGGCUAUGAAUAUAGCCCUGCAGCAACACUGUGAAAGUCCAUUGUCACCCUCCCAUGAAAGCAAACUGUUCCUGCCUCUCUGGAACAAUGUCGACUGAGAGGAAUGCAUUGGUCAAUUCCACCACAUAGUGGCAUUGUCUCAGUUCUGUUGUCAAGAAGUUCAUCAAAUCCAUGAUAGAAGGUACAGAUACAUGCAGAAGGAGUAUUACUUUAUUCAGUUUCCGAUAAUCCACUGUUAUCUGCCAAAUCCCAUCAGGCUUUCUGACUGGCCAUAAUGGAAAAUGGUAGGGGCUAUGGAUGCCACACACUAUUUGCACCUCCUCUAACUUCUUAAUAGUCUCAGUUACCUCUGUAUUCCCCCCUGGCAAACGGUACUGAUGAGUGGAAGUAACCUGUCAGGGUUGUGGCAGAACUUGGGGCUGGUGAUGUGUAUGUUCACCCAGUACUGGCUUUACUGCAUGGACUCAGAAUCUGGAUUCUCUGGCCGUGGUGUGCAAGCCCAGACCAUGCAAAAUGUCCACCCCCAGAAUAUAUUCAGGUAUAGGAGAAACAUACACAGUGUACAGGUGGGGAGCCAAGCGGCCAAUGCCAAGAUGCAGAGACACAGGCUUCACCUUCACCGACUGGCUCCCAUAACCGUCCAUAAAUGCAGCUUUGCCUAGAAAUUUAUCUGGGUUCCCAUAAACUAGACUGCAGUCUGCACCAGUAUCUAUCAGUGCUAGGACCCGCGGUACAUUAGUGGGGGACCAGUGGAUUGCCAGCUCCACAUAUAGCCUCUGGUUGUCUAGUUCCCCCUGCCAAGCUGGCGACCUCGGCCAGUUCCCUAAUCAAACAAGAAAGGCUCUGUAUCUCUGCCUGUCUGCAAAUAGUCCUUGAGUUGCAGCGUCUGGGAGGGAUUAGGUUGAACAACAUUGUUUUGCCCCCCACACCUUAGGCAUUUUCUGGAAUUGCUGCUCCCGGGACAAUUGCCUUCACAGAGUCAACAACAUUCCAUUGGGUUGCCCGUCAAUUUUCUCCCGAGCAACCCCAGCUGCAAGUAAAUCAAUCCACAUCUGCAUGCAGGUCACCUCCUGGAGCCCCUUUUUAUCUGGUGGGGUGGUUAACUGCGGAUGAGGCAUUUUCUCCCUCCUUACGGUGCGGAUUCUCCGGUCCUGCGAAUGGCCUUCUGCCUCCCUGAGGGCUGCCAGAGCAGUAGUCACUUCAUGUAUGCGGCACCCCACAUACUGGGUGAGAACAGCGGCUAGAAAGCCAUAAGGGUUCGGGGUGCUGAACUCAGCACAAGAUCCCUCAUGUGGGAGGUAAAGCGUUCAUCAUCUGGCCCCAUGGUAAUCAGACCAAACAUAGCCUGCCGCAUACCUAUCUCCAAGAGUAUCUGCACCAAAUUAGUAUGUGAUUGCCAUUUACUCACAGUUUGUAGUAUCUCUCUGGCAUCAUUGAAAACAGUCCAUAUGACUGUCAUUAGCCACUUGAUUAAUGUGUGGCCACCUUGCUCUUGUGCCAACCGUUGGCACAGCUGCAGCUGCUGACGAAGGGAGGGGUGAGUUGUGAUAGAAGUCAGCUUCUCCAUCUCAGAGGCGGAACAAAAAAUGCUAUCAGCUCCCUCAGACGCUGCCGGCACUAUUUACCUAAUUCCCACAACUCACUGGGGUUAUAAGCAUAAUAAGAGGCGUGUUCCACCACUGUGGACGGGGUCCCUGGGCUUUCCCCUAGGGUCCCAUCAGCUGCUUAUGUUCUACCUUCUGACGGAUCACAGGAGGAGCCUGCAGCGGAGGAGCCUCCUCCUCCUCAGCAUCAGACCUAAAGGGAGUGUCCUGCCUGAAGGACCGGCUCAAGGUCGCACUAACAGCUCUUGCUAACUCCUGUUCCAGGCUGUUUAUCUGGGCCUCCAAGUACCCUGCUUGCGCCUGGAGGUCUCUCACCCCCAGGUCCUGCUCAAAGCUGUGCACUUGGGCCCCCAGGCAUGCGGCUUGCUCCGGAAGGUCCCUUACCUGUGGCACUGAGCAUGUACUUCCUGCAGUGCAGUUAGAAAUGCCCAUCCGACUCUGCUUGCAAAGACAUCUGCAAUGGCAGUUCACAUGGCUCAGAUAGCUCACUUCUGCAGAGAGCUGAAUUUAAGUGGGACAGGGUAGCAAGAAUAAUUACUUUGACAAUCAUUUUGCCACCUGAUGACUGUGCUGCCUGUCCUGAGCUGAGUGCAGAGAGGGAGACACCCUUACAAAUGGAGAUUUGCUGGAUAGAAAUGUGGCCAAAGAGUUCAAUAAAAGGUUCCUUUAUUUAUAGGCACAGCUGCUUAAAGACUGUUACCGGAAAGGAAUCCUGAUCCAGACGCCAAGAGAGGGUUCUUGGACUCAUGCAAGAAAGACUUCAGAAUACGAGUUUUGAAUUUUUGAAUUGCUGUUAAAACUUUCAUCAUGAACACUGAAGUGAGUGAAAAGAGACUUUUGCAGUCAUUUUUUUGUUCUCAGGUCCCUGGACCAUGAAGGGCCACAUCCAAGGAGCUACCCCAGGAGGCCUCUCAUUUGCAUUUGUCCCCGCUAAUGCAGGACAGAGAUCAUGGAAGUUGGGCCCGACUGGAUGAGAUUUGGGGGUCUUUGGAAGUGGAGAAUGUGUUUGCCCUGGGGAAGAGAGGUGAUGUCUAGGAGACCUCUUCACUCAGGGCAAGCUCUAUGACCUGCUUUGACUCCAGAAUGUGGUAGAAGUGGCAUCACAUAAAUUGCAGAGCCUAGGCUUCAAGAGACCUUGCAACUUGCCUCUCACUGACUUGAAGUGCUCCCAUCAGAGCAUCUUGUAAGGAGCAGGUGGAGCAUGUGGACAAGCCAUCCCCACCAGCCCCUGAGACAUGUGAGAGAGGCCAGAACAGGCCAUCCGGACCCCACUGUGCUGGUGGAUGAGACAGCAGAAGGAAUAUCAACCUACCAACAGAAUCCUGAGAAAUGCUCACUCUUACUUCAAGCUGCUGCAUUUUGAUGUUAUGAAACCAUAAAUAACUUAUGAAGUCAUCUUUGCUGACUUAAAGUUUUCCAUAACUUUAUUAUAACAUAUCAAAAUUAUGAAAAAUGUGAAAAGUAGAAAACUGAUGAAUUUUGCUUCUUCAUAUGGUCUUUAAGAAUCUCAAAGGCACUGAAGUUUUUUAUCUUUUCUGUCUUAGAAUAAAAAACCUUGAAUGAAAAUCUGCUUCUUGGAAAAGCAGCAAGGUUUAUGCAGAGGCAAUCUGGUAUUUGUGUGCACUGGCAGCUGAUCAUACCCAGCAUGCACGCACUCUCAGGGCAGAGUCUGAUGCCCCACAUAAUGGGGCAUGGUAAGGACUCCCAUGUCCUUGAGAUAAAAUGAUAAGGAAAAUACACACUGCUAUUAGAAUAACAGGCCCAGCUUCUGCACAUUUUAAUUCCCAAAGUUUUCAUGAAAGACAAUGAUUUUUUGGUACCAUGUUUAACUCUACAAGAAUCAGUAGUGAAAACUAAAAAUGAUACUUUGUGAAAGUUCAUUAAUUUUGUUUUCAGCCAGUGGUGGCCUUGGUCAGAUAGAAUCAAAUCUAUGAUACUUUUUAUCAGAAAUGCUUAUACUGUGUACAAACCCAAAGUGAUGGCUUUCAAAGAUUGAAUUUGAUUAUUUUCUGUAUGGUGCAGAUGAAAAAUUACUACACAGGAGAAGGUGGGUUGGAGGUGCUCACGAGUAACCAGGAAACAGUCUGAAGUUUUUCUGAUACUUCUCCUUGGUCCAACCAAAUGUGAGAUAUAAACACAAACUUGGGAUUCCGUUCUUAUGUUUUGGUUGUUUCAGUCUUUACAGAUGUAUCGAAAGGCUGUCCAAAAAUGUCUGACUUCUGUAGUGUGCCUUCGUAGCACUAGAGGGUUCUGCAGCUGUGAAACUGAAGGCAUUGGCAAGAAGCCCUCCAUCUUCAAACCACUUUCUGCUAAGGUGUGGCUCUAUAAAACCACUAUGAGCUGGGCUUCACUGAGACUGAGUUGUUUCAGUAGGAUCUUCCGGAAAAACAUGUUCCCUCCUUUACCUGGGUUGUCAUUCUGAGAACAAUCACACCUCCAAUUUUGGCUUACUAAGCAAUAGCGUUUUAAUGAUUUUAAGCCAGGAUUUGCUCCUCCUUUCCUCAGUAUGAGAGCUUAACCACUGGAGGAACCAAGAAUUCAUGCUGGUUGGGUUCUGAUUCCACUUUAACUUACUGUAUAGCCUCAUCCCUUGUUUUUCUGGAGAUUCUCUUUUUCUGCUUCACUGAUUUAUAUUUACAUUAAAAUCAAAUGAGGCCAUGUUUCUGAAAUCACAUUGUCCCUACAUGGUCAUUACAAUGAGUCUGUAAUGUGACUGAAAGACAGCCAUGGAUACAGGUAGAGGAUAUCAGGCAAUUGAAUGCUCAUCAAGCAUUCAAUUCAGGGCAAAUGGCAUAAGGUAUGCAGUUGGCCUCUUCUGAUAUCUGUGUCUUAAUCCUUUCUUUAGCCUCUGUUUUCUGGACCAAGGCUAAGAUAUUUUCUGGGCACAGUGGCUCAUGCCUAUAAUCCCAGCACUCUGGGAGGCCAAGGUGGGAGGAUUUCUUCAGCCC
rnacentral:lncRNA from 1 species